UGGAAUAGACCUGGGAGAAUGGUAGCCCU
rnacentral:piRNA from 1 species